CCCGAAUAUACGGCCGGUGGACCACUACAUUAUGCAACAUUGACAUUGUCUUUUAAUAUAGCAGAGAAUGAUAUUUAAAAGCAUUCACUUGAUUGUCAUUGUCUUUAUAGCUUACUAUGUUAUUCAAUGCGUGUUAUUAAAACAUGUGCAUUUUCUUGUUUAUGACUGACUUGUUCAAAUAUAUUACUAACACAAAAGAUUGUCCAUGUAUACCCCUCCCCCCAUAUAUAAGCCCCAGCUCUUGGCCUUGUAUAAGCCCACCAAAAACCAGUUACAAAAGAAUAUAAGCCCAGGGCUUAUAGUCGGAGGUUUACAGUAUGACAAUAACAUGCAGAAGGCACUAGCUAUAGGGCAACUGAAUAAACAUACAUUGUUUGCAUGCCUUUAUUGUUUAAUAUUAUACACCACUUUCAGCUAUAAUAUACAGAUGUAACAUUUGUCUGGGGGCUGGCUUUGGAAGUGGAAGCCCAUGGACAAGGCCGUAGCUAGCAUGUAUAGUUGGGGAGGGGGGGGGGGG